rnacentral:rRNA from 1 species
UGGGGGAUAUUGCACAAUGGGCGAAAGCCUGAUGCAGCGACGCCGCGUGGGGGAUGAAGGCCUUCGGGUUGUAAACUUCUUUUGCUCUGAACAAGGCAUGCCUUUGGGGUGUGUUGAGUGUAGGGGUUGAUUAGCGCCGGCUAACUACGUGCCAGCAGCCGCGGUAAUACGUAGGGCGCGAGCGUUGUCCGGAAUUAUUGGGCGUAAAGGGCUUGUAGGUGGCUGGUUGCGUCUGUCGUGAAAGCUCAUGGCUUAACUGUGGGUUUGCGGUGGGUACGGGCUGGCUUGAGUGCAGUAGUGGAGGCUGGAAUUCCUGGUGUAGCGGUGGAAUGCGCAGAUAUCAGGAGGAAUACCGGUGGCGAAGGCGGGUCUCUGGGCUGUUACUGACGCUGAGGAGCGAAAGCGUGGGGAGCGAACAGG